UCGUAACAAGGUCUCCGUUGGUGAACCAGCGGAGGGAUCAUUACUGAGUUUACGCUCUAUAACCCUUUGUGAACAUACCUAUAACUGUUGCUUCGGCGGGUAGGGUCUCCGCGACCCUCCCGGCCUCCCGCCUCCGGGCGGGUCGGCGCCCGCCGGAGGAUAACCAAACUCUGAUUUAACGACGUUUCUUCUGAGUGGUACAAGCAAAUAAUCAAAACUUUUAACAACGGAUCUCUUGGUUCUGGCAUCGAUGAAGAACGCAGCGAAAUGCGAUAAGUAAUGUGAAUUGCAGAAUUCAGUGAAUCAUCGAAUCUUUGAACGCACAUUGCGCCCGCCAGCAUUCUGGCGGGCAUGCCUGUUCGAGCGUCAUUUCAACCCUCAAGCUCUGCUUGGUGUUGGGGCCCUACAGCUGAUGUAGGCCCUCAAAGGUAGUGGCGGACCCUCCCGGAGCCUCCUUUGCGUAGUAACUUUACGUCUCGCACUGGGAUGCGGAGGGACUCUUGCCGUAAAACCCCCCAAUUUUCCAAAGGUUGACCUCGGAUCAGGUAGGAAUACCCGCUGAACUUAAGCAUAUCAAUA
rnacentral:rRNA from 1 species